GUUGUAUUUUGACUAAUUAUAGAUGGUUCUUACAAGCACUUUCUGUUUAUCUCAAUGUCAGUAUAUAUCUGUUCCAUAAUCACACUAUGCGACUCACAUUCAAUGGGACGUCAACUUAAUGUAUUGCUCAAUUCUUAGAUCUUGUAAACUGUUGUUUAUAUUUUUAUGCCCCACCUACGAUAGUAGAGGGGCAUUAUGUUUUCUGGUCUGUGGCUCCGUCCGUCCGUCCAGGUUAAAGUUUUUGGUCAAGGUAGUUUUUGAUGAAGCUGAAGUCCAAUCAACUUGAAACUUAGUACACUUGUUGCUUAUGAGAUGAUCCUUCUAAUUUUUAAGCCAAAAUUAGACUUUUGACCCCAAUUUCACGGUCAACUGAACAUAGAAAAUGAAAGUGGGAGUUUCAGGUUAAAGUUUUUGGUCAAGGUAGUUUUUGAUGAAGCUGAAGUCCAAUCAACUUGAAACUUAGUACACUUGUUGCUUAUGAUAUGAUCUUUCUAAUUUUAAUACCAAAUUAGAUAAUUACCCAAUUUUACGGUCCAUGGAACAUGGAAAAGGAUAGUGCGAGUGGGGCAUCC
rnacentral:lncRNA from 1 species